UAGCGGAGGAAAAGAAACUAACAAGGAUUCCCCUAGUAACGGCGAGUGAAGCGGGAAGAGCUCAAAUUUGAAAUCUGGUAGCCUUCGGUUGCCCGAGUUGUAAUCUAGAGAAGUGUUUUCCGCGUUGGCCCAUGUACAAGUCCCUUGGAACAGGGCGUCAUAGAGGGUGAGAAUCCCGUCCUUGACAUGGACCCCCAAUGCUUUGUGAUACACUUUCAACGAGUCGAGUUGUUUGGGAAUGCAGCUCAAAAUGGGUGGUGAAUUCCAUCUAAAGCUAAAUAUUGGCGAGAGACCGAUAGCGAACAAGUACCGUGAGGGAAAGAUGAAAAGCACUUUGGAAAGAGAGUUAAACAGUACGUGAAAUUGUUGAAAGGGAAACGAUUGAAGUCAGUCAUGCUCUUUGGUUUAAGCCGUUCUGCGGUGUAUAUCAUUGAGUGGGGUCAACAUCAGUUUUGACCGCUGGAAAAGGGCAAGAGGAAGGUAGCACCCCCGGGUGAACUUAUAGCCUCUCGUCGUAUACAGUGGUUGGGACUGAGGAACGCAGCAUGCCUUUUGGCCGGGAUUCGUCCACGUACAUGCUUAGGAUGUUGACAUAAUGGCUUUAAACGACCCGUCUUGA
rnacentral:sRNA from 1 species